rnacentral:rRNA from 1 species
UACAGAGGUCUCAAGCGUUGUCCGGAUUUAUUGGGCGUAAAGAGCUCGUAGGCGGUUGGGUAAGUCGGGUGUGAAAACUCCAGGCUCAACUUGGAGAUGCCACCCGAUACUGCUCUGACUUGAGUUCGGUAGGGGAGUGGGGAAUUCCUGGUGUAGCGGUGAAAUGCGCAGAUAUCAGGAGGAACACCGGUGGCUAAGGCGCCACUCUGGGCCGAAACUGACGCUGAGGAGCGAAAGCGUGGGUAGCAAACAGG